GCAGUCGUGGCCUACUGGUUAGGGCUUCGGGCUUGUAACUGAAGGUUGCCGGUUCGAUCCCCGACUAGUAGG
rnacentral:tRNA from 1 species